GGGCCAAUAGCUCAGCUAGGUAGAGCGUCAGGCUUUUAACCUGAUGGUCGGGGGUUCAAAUCCCCCUUGGCCCGCCA
rnacentral:tRNA from 1 species